CGGAUCCCGCCGCUGCAAGUUUGAUCCUGCUCAGAUUGAACGCUGGCGGCAGGCUUAACACAUGCAAGUCGAGCGGAAACGAUGGGAGCUUGCUCCCAGGCGUCGAGCGGCGGACGGGUGAGUAAUACUUAGGAAUCUGCCCAGUAGUGGGGGAUAGCUCGGGGAAACUCGAAUUAAUACCGCAUACACCCUACGGGGAAAAGGGGGCGCUUGCGCUCUCGCUAUUGGAUGAGCCUAAGUCGGAUUAGCUAGUUGGUGGGGUAAAGGCCUACCAAGGCGACGAUCUGUAGCUGGUCUGAGAGGAUGAUCAGCCACACCGGGACUGAGACACGGCCCGGACUCCUACGGGAGGCAGCAGUGGGGAAUAUUGGACAAUGGGGGCAACCCUGAUCCAGCCAUGCCGCGUGUGUGAAGAAGGCCUUUUGGUUGUAAAGCACUUUAAGCAGUGAAGAAGACCUAACGGUUAAUACCCGUUAGCGAUGACAUUAGCUGCAGAAUAAGCACCGGCUAACUCUGUGCCAGCAGCCGCGGUAAUACAGAGGGUGCAAGCGUUAAUCGGAAUUACUGGGCGUAAAGCGAGCGUAGGUGGCUUGAUAAGUCAGAUGUGAAAUCCCCGGGCUUAACCUGGGAACUGCAUCUGAUACUGUUGGGCUAGAGUAGGUGAGAGGGAGGUAGAAUUUCAGGUGUAGCGGUGAAAUGCGUAGAGAUCUGAAGGAAUACCGAUGGCGAAGGCAGCUCCUGGCAUCAUACUGACACUGAGGUUCGAAAGCGUGGGUAGCAAACAGGAUUAGAUACCCUGGUAGUCCACGCCGUAAACGAUGUCUACUAGUCGUUGGGGAACUUGAUUCCUUAGUGACGCAGCUAACGCAAUAAGUAGACCGCCUGGGGGAGUACGGCCGCAAGGUUAAAACUCAAAUGAAUUGACGGGGGCCCGCACAAGCGGUGGAGCAUGUGGUUUAAUUCGAUGCAACGCGAAGAACCUUACCUGGUCUUGACAUAUCUAGAAUCCUGCAGAGAUGCGGGAGUGCCUUCGGGUAAUUAGAAUACAGGUGCUGCAUGGCUGUCGUCAGCUCGUGUCGUGAGAUGUUGGGUUAAGUCCCGCAACGAGCGCAACCCUUUUCCUUAGUUACCAGCGGUUUGGCCGGGGACUCUAAGGAUACUGCCAGUGACAAACUGGAGGAAGGCGGGGACGACGUCAAGUCAUCAUGGCCCUUACGACCAGGGCUACACACGUGCUACAAUGGUAGGUACAGAGGGCAGCUACACAGCGAUGUGAUG
rnacentral:rRNA from 1 species